CCUUGUAACCAUAUAUAGAUUGGAGAUGUUUUACAAGCGAGUGCUGUAACAAAAUAUAACGAGCAUGAAUCUUCAACGCAUGUGGCGUACGUCUGUUCAAUUUCAUCUCGAAUAGCGGACGAGCGUGCUUGUAAGUUUGCCGUUCAUGUUUUAUCUCAUUUUGAUUGAUCAUCAGCAUUAGACGAAAUGCCAAACUUUUGGCGUCUCUUUUUUGAGAUCUAAAAUUCGACUGGAUCAAAGAUUAUGAAAAAGAUGUGAAGCUAUCACUUUGCAGAUGAUUAUGAAUGUCUACUGCUGAUAACAAAUGCCGCCGCACACCUAUCUUGGAUUGAAGUGAGCCAUUUUCAUGUUAUUUUAGGAAUGAAAGUUUAACUUGUUAUUCGACCUGUCACCGGAGGAUAUGAAUUUCAAAUGGGAGUCGUGAUAUGUAUUAUCAUUUAAAGAUUUGCUCAUUGAUUGGUGCAAACGUAUCUUCUUUCGAUUGUUAUCGAUUCUAAUGUUUGGUAGUUUUUUUGUUAACCUGUUUUGCUGUUGUUUGCGAUUGAAAGGAUGUUUGUGCAGUCGGCACUGAUUCUCUGAGAGAAAAACCUGUAACCAGACUGUCAAGCGCUAGAUCUUAAUUUUUACUCUGAGAUGAACACUGCAGUUUUAGGGAAAUACACUGAACCAUUUCCGAGCCUCAAGAGGUGUGCUUUUCCUGACGGAUAUUGGAAAAGGGCGAUUACUCAAGUGUUCGUUUUCUAAGAUCGUAGGAUGUUCUAGCCUACUGUUGUCAGUCUCCUUUCAUUCUAAAGACAGUGACGAUAUAAUUGGCAAAAAGGCGAAAGACUGUAGUCAAAGGACCUACAUGUACCGGAAGGUUCUAGCAGUGGAGCUGACGGAACUGAGGAUUGAGAAUUGAAAGUUCAAGGUUUGGUAGAUGACCUGGAACACUUGUCACUCCUCAAAAUACAACCGUGAUACCUGAGUGUAGUUGGUGAGUAAAACGCUUGUCUAAUCCUGAGUUUCCGUAUUGCCGUUAAUUGCAUUUUUUUUAAAUGUUAAAUCCUACUUUUCUUCUGCAUGGACAAGUCAUUAAAUUUAAGUUCUAACUAAAUUACAAAUAGAUAUAAUACAUACUGGCAAAUGUAAUGCCUAGUAUGCUAGUUUAAUGUUUAAAAAGUGUAACUCUAUUUCUAUCCCAGCUAAUUUAGUUGAAGUGUGGCACCAUUACUUUGCAUCAAAAUGUGCUUGAUACAAAGAAUCUAAAUUCAGUUUACUGAUUUAACUGAUAACACUAAAACCGUUCGAAAAAAUGAAUGACCUAUUCUAUGCGUAACUUUUAUUAAAAGAAGAAUUUUAUUAACUUUUAUUAACUCGUCAUUACACGAGUUCCUUACUUAUAUUCGCUCAGAUCUACAAGACUACCAUAAUUAUAAUUAGAUUUUUUGUUAGUUUUAUUGAUCCUUCCCGUUUUAUUGGAUUUAUGUUUUCCUUGAUUGGAAGGCGGAUUAAACGGAUUAGAUUAGGAUUGACCAUCUUGGUAUCUGGUAUUACUCGAGACUGAUCUUUAAGAUGGUACAUCCCUCUUGCUAGUUAUCAGGUGGGACUUGUUUCGUGUGUGACAGAAGUUAAUCAAAGUUCUGUUUCCAUCAAGAUAUUAAUAGUCUCACAAACAUUUUGUUAUGAGGAAAAAGUGUAUUUUAUGCCACUUUAAAGAUGGACAACCAAUUUCAUCAAACCAGCGUCAUAUUCAUUUUUUCUCUCCAAAAUUAACGAUUAAA
rnacentral:lncRNA from 1 species